UUUGCUCCCCGGGUGACGAGCGGCGGACGGGUGAGUAAUGUCUGGGAAACUGCCUGAUGGAGGGGGAUAACUACUGGAAACGGCAGCUAAUACCGCAUAACGUCGCAAGACCAAAGAGGGGGACCUUCGGGCCUCUUGCCAUCAGAUGUGCCCAGAUGGGAUUAGCUAGUAGGUGGGGUAAUGGCUCACCUAGGCGACGAUCCCUAGCUGGUCUGAGAGGAUGACCAGCCACACUGGAACUGAGACACGGUCCAGACUCCUACGGGAGGCAGCAGUGGGGAAUAUUGCACAAUGGGCGCAAGCCUGAUGCAGCCAUGCCGCGUGUGUGAAGAAGGCCUUCGGGUUGUAAAGCACUUUCAGCGAGGAGGAAGGUGGUGAGCUUAAUACGCUCAUCAAUUGACGUUACUCGCAGAAGAAGCACCGGCUAACUCCGUGCCAGCAGCCGCGGUAAUACGGAGGGUGCAAGCGUUAAUCGGAAUUACUGGGCGUAAAGCGCACGCAGGCGGUUUGUUAAGUCAGAUGUGAAAUCCCCGGGCUCAACCUGGGAACUGCAUUUGAAACUGGCAAGCUAGAGUCUCGUAGAGGGGGGUAGAAUUCCAGGUGUAGCGGUGAAAUGCGUAGAGAUCUGGAGGAAUACCGGUGGCGAAGGCGGCCCCCUGGACGAAGACUGACGCUCAGGUGCGAAAGCGUGGGGAGCAAACAGGAUUAGAUACCCUGGUAGUCCACGCUGUAAACGAUGUCGAUUUGGAGGUUGUGCCCUUGAGGCGUGGCUUCCGGAGCUAACGCGUUAAAUCGACCGCCUGGGGAGUACGGCCGCAAGGUUAAAACUCAAAUGAAUUGACGGGGGCCCGCACAAGCGGUGGAGCAUGUGGUUUAAUUCGAUGCAACGCGAAGAACCUUACCUACUCUUGACAUCCAGAGAACUUUCCAGAGAUGGAUUGGUGCCUUCGGGAACUCUGAGACAGGUGCUGCAUGGUUGUCGUCAGCUCGUGUUGUGAAAUGUUGGGUUAAGUCCCGCAACGAGCGCAACCCUUAUCCUUUGUUGCCAGCGGUUCGGCCGGGAACUCAAAGGAGACUGCCAGUGAUAAACUGGAGGAAGGUGGGGAUGACGUCAAGUCAUCAUGGCCCUUACGAGUAGGGCUACACACGUGCUACAAUGGCGUAUACAAAGAGAAGCGACCUCGCGAGAGCAAGCGGACCUCAUAAAGUAUGUCGUAGUCCGGAUUGGAGUCUGCAACUCGACUCCAUGAAGUCGGAAUCGCUAGUAAUCGUAUAUCAGAAUGCUACGGUGAAUACGUUCCCGGGCCUUGUACACACCGCCCGUCACACCAUGGGAGUGGGUUGCAAAAGAAGUAGGUAGCUUAACCUUCGGGAGGGCGCUUACCACUUUGUGAUUCAUGACUGGGGUGAAGUCGUAACAAGGUAACCGUAGGGGAACCUGCGGC
rnacentral:rRNA from 1 species